rnacentral:lncRNA from 1 species
CCCAUUGAAGGUUUUGUAGGACUACAUUGUUUUAUAUUAUAGCCAUCUUGCACGUAAAACCCCCAUGGACAUUUUGAAAAGUUGGCAGGUACAGAGUGUGGCCAAAAGUAUUCGUCACUUCAGAUUUUUCCUAUAUAUUGUAUAUAAAACUACUUUUUUUCAAAAAAAUAUUUUGGGGUCAUUUUUGGUUUGAUUUUAAGCAACUUGGUAC